rnacentral:lncRNA from 1 species
GCACUGACAGGUUUUGAAGGAAGUUAUGGUUCUGCUGAAGGUGUUCCAUCUUAGAGUCAACCUCAUAAGCCCUGGUUUCCCCUGUCCCCAUGAACCAGGACAGAGCUUUUCUAAGUUCAUGUGAAAUUGGAUUCUUUUCCAAGUUGCUGCAUCAUGAAUAUGCAUUUUCUUACCGGGUGGCUCAGAUUCUUUACCUUCUGAGCCAUCAGGGAAGCCCUGGUGACCAGAUUACCAGACCUGAUAAUCUUAAUUCAAC